rnacentral:rRNA from 1 species
UACGAAGGGUGCAAGCGUUACUCGGAAUUACUGGGCGUAAAGCGCACGUAGGCGGACCGGCCAGUCAGAGGUGAAAUCCCGAGGCUUAACCUCGGAACUGCCUUUGAUACUGCCGGUCUUGAGGACGAGAGAGGUGAGUGGAACUGCGAGUGUAGAGGUGAAAUUCGUAGAUAUUCGCAAGAACACCAGUGGCGAAGGCGGCUCACUGGCUCAUUUCUGACGCUGAGGUGCGAAAGCGUGGGGAGCAAACAGG